rnacentral:lncRNA from 1 species
UAUCCUAUUCUUUUGAAUGAAUGAUGUCUUGAUGCCUUCUGUUUUUUCACAGUGAUAUUAAACAUCGCCAUGAAGCUGCUGAUUGUGUUUGCACUUCUUUGUGUAAUGGUCCCUCUGUUCAUUUCUGCUCAAGAAGGGGGUGAGACUGGGGAAGAGGAUAAGACAUCAGAAGAAGAUCUUCUAGAGAAGAGAGGCUUGGGGGGCAAACGUCGGUCUCCCGGCAUCUGGGGUGGACGUCGGUCUGGUGGUGGCAAACGUCCGUUUAGUGGUAAACUCAAUUGGGGCAGACAUCGGUUUGGUGGUAAAGUCAAGCUAGGCAGACAUAAGUUUGGUGGUAACGCCAAAUGGGGCAAAAAUGGGUUUUCUGGUGGAGUCAGCUGGCGAAGACGACAUGGGAAUCAGGUGUAUGAAUGAUAUAUGCCACACUAUUGACACCACUUUUAUCUGGGUCCGAAAAAGAAGAUGAUUCCUGUUCUUUCAUGGAAAGCAUGGUUCAUCGCACCAAGAAGCAAAUCAUUUCAUCCAACUCCCUGAACUAUCUUUUUACACUUUUACAUCUUUACUUUUUUUCUUUUACUGUAAUGCUACAUAAUGAAUGAAGCAACAAGUGACACAACUGGAGUGGACUGGGCCGUCUCUUUUAAGAGCAAAUGCUAUUCAUUUCUGUUCUUAUUAUCUUCAUCAUUAAACUCUUAAGCAUUAAAUCAAAAUAUUCUCUGAGUCUUUGUCACAUGUUACAAUUUCAUUGGCUCUCUUCAUUUUUAAAUACAUAAAUAGAAAACAACACAUCUGACCUGCUAAUAUGUGACUGAGCUCAAAGCAUUUACUGAAGGAGAUUCUAAACAAUAUCCAG